GCAGAAUUGUGGAGACUCUAAAAGACUGUUUAAGCUGCCGAUGUGUGCCACUGCAGUAUGUGUUAGCAUUAGCAUUAGCCACGGAGAUCAGCCACGAUAACCCUAACCACUGCAAAAUAAAAGAGGGAAAAGAAAGAAAGCAACUGUGUGAUUGAUGAGUGGAGUCCUGCUCAAACCCUGGGCAGAUGAAACAUCCUUUUUCAAGUGGGGAAACUGCACAAACUCUGAGAAAAAUCAUCAGUGAGAAUCACCUGUCAUUGAAAGGGGGAGGACACUUGACACGAUGGGAGACGCCAGUGUUUACAAACAGUGACGUCACGAAGUCACGUGAUUACCGCGCUGGUUGGCAAAAGGAACCAGAGGAACAAUGGCUGAUGAUAACAAUGCAAACUAUCCUUCCGUGAAAUUGUCCGAUUAUGCUCAAUCCUUAUCACCUGAGGCCCGACAAAUAUACGUGAUUGGCAGGAGGAGGAGAGUCUGACGGAGGAGCAGAGGAAUGUUGGCAGCCAUUUAGUCUGAGCUCAACAACGGAGGAAACAUGGAUUCUUCACAAAAAAAAUGUAAAUGCAGCAAUGGAAUGAGAUGUCGGACCUCUGAGGAGGAUAAGGAUGGUUCGGCAACAACAGCAAAAAGAGAUGAAUCACUGAGUUGUGAGCAAUAUGACAAGACUUUUAUCACAGCAAGAAAGCUAAGAAUUCACAAACGUGUUCACACUGUGGACAAACCAUUCAGCUGUGAUCAGUGUGGAAAAGCUUUUACUCUGAAGGGACACUUAAAAAGCCAUCAACUCAUUCACAGUGGAGUUAAACCAUUCAACUGUGAUCAGUGUGGAAAGGCUUUUACUCAGAAGUGUGAUCUAGCAAAACAUCAACUCAUUCACAGUGGAGUGAAAUCAUUCAGCUGUGAUCAGUGUGGAAAGGCUUUUACUCUGAAGAUUCAGUUAAAAAGCCAUCAACUCAUUCACAGUGGAGUUAAACCAUUCAACUGUGAUCAGUGUGUGAAAACCUUUACUCAACAUGAACAGUUGUUGAUCCAUCAAUGCCCCUUUCUAGUAGAAAGCGGUACCACUGUGACUCCUGUGAAAAAACUUUCAACGACCAACAGAGCUUAAAACGUCACCAACGCAUCCACACUGGACAUGAUGUGUACGUAUGUGAUCACUGUGGCAAACUAUUUGUACGGUACUCACAGUUAAAAGCUCAUGAAGUGACCCACACUGGGGUUAAACCAUACCUUUGUGACCAGUGUGGGAAACGCUACAGCUAUAUUAACAACCUCAAAGUUCACCAACGUGUCCACACUGGGGAGAGACCAUGCAGAUGUGACAAGUGUAAGAAGACUUUUACAACUUUGGGUUCCCUGAAACAACACCAGCAGAUCCACACCAGAAAGAAAGCAUUCAAUCAGUGUCACAAUGAGAACGGAACAGAUGGACAAAAGUCUCAGACUUGUCAGCACUCUGCCAAUGGUGAACAGUGCUGCUUUGACCAGUCUGGACCAACGUCCAACCAACAAGUAACCCUACAACGACACCAGCGUAUGCACACUGGACACAGACUGAACCCCUGCCAAGAAGAUUUCGCCAUGCAGGGUUCAGUAAAAGUUCAUGAAGUCCUCCACAAACUUAAAGUCCUUGAGAUCCGGCUUCACAGAAUUCAGGUCUAAUUUCUUGUUUAGUGGCUUCGUUGCUUCGUUGCGAAAUCCGUUAAGAAGAAAGCUGUCGUUAACAUUGAACAAGUAUAAUAUUGAACAAGUAGAUCAACUAAUCUCUGAUUAUGUGUGAGUUGAAAUAUAAAAACAUGAAGUGUUGGAUGAAAAGUCCAAUUUUUGAAAGCUGACAUGUAGUUUAGAAUCAUUUCUUUGUAAAUUAGCUGCAUCCAGUCAUUACCAUGACAUUGGCAUCAUGGAACCAUGACCACAUAUAUGUGUCUGGAGAUAGUGGCAUUUUUAUAACGGCACAUUUUCAUGCUUUGACCGAUACAGUGAGGGAAAAAAGUUUUCAGACACCCUGAAAAUUUUUACACAAUCUUAAAUAUUGUCAUUAAAUAUUUGUUGAAAAGUCUUUUUUUGUGUGUUUCUCAGGGUGUGGCUGCAUCAGACAGACAAAAAUACAAAUUAUAUUUUUUGUUUGUUUGUUGUUCACAAGAAAAACUAACAAAACUAAAUUCUACCAAAUUUCUCAUUUUAUGGAACCAGUUAGAUGAAAACAAACUGACUUUUUUAAAAAAAUAAAUUUGCAUCUCCCUAUGUUGCUUUUGCUUCAUUUUGGUCAUUUUGUUCCUAAUUUCAAUGAAUUUUACAUCUGUUUUUGUGACUUUUUGUACCAUUCUGACCAUUUUGUGGUUCAUGUUGGUCAUUUUGUGUGCCUUUAAGGUUGUUAUUGUUUGAAAUUGUUCAUGUUGCUCAUUUUGGUCAUUUCAUAUGUUCAUUUGGUCAUUCUGUGACUCAUAUUGGUCAUUUUUGUUUCACUCCGUGUCUCUUUAUUUUUAUUUGUCUGCUUUGCUUCAUUUAUGUCAUUUUGCAUCACUUUUAGCUUGUUUUUUUUCAAUUUUGACAAUUUUGUAUCUCACUUUGAUCAUUUCUCAUCUCUCUUUGGGUUUUGUUUUUUUAUUGUUUCUUAGCUUAGAUUCAACUUUACUGUCAUUGUACAGAGUACAAGUACUAAGACAGUAAAUGCAUUUUUUAAAAGUCCGUUGUGAUGUCAGAGAGAAGAACUAACAACUGUUACCACAUUCCAUAUUCUGAAGAAAAACACUGAAACACUUGAGAAAGUCAGUUUAACACACAAACCUUGGAGAUAUUGGAGAGUUGUGGUGAAGAUUUCAAAUGUGAAACUCGUGAAGACAUUGAGUGUUAGGGAAUUCUGCGACGUCGGAAAAAGAAUCAGGAGGCAGACUCAGAGACACACUGGAGACUCAGAUGGCUUAUGUUGAGAAUAAGGUUUACUGAUCAGGAGAAAUGAUACAGUGAGUAACACAGUGAUGUGAGCACUGGCAGCAUCAGUUCUAAGGAGUCUCUCUGGCCUUGGGUACUUAUACCAUUUUGGAAGGCAUGCCAUGUUUAUGUUACACUCCAAAUAUGGAGACAGGAAAGUGAGCUCAGGUUCCAUCUUGUUAUUCUGUCAUCGUUGUCUUUUAUCCCUAUGUUAUCUUUACCAAGCGUCCGUCUGUCUCAGGCUCAGAUUGUGGACAGAGAGAACAUAAACACGUUUGCAUCCUCAAUUAAGGAGAACCACAGGUCAGGGGUAACAUCUUGUAGAGUAGUUUGGGGUGAAUUGGUACUUACACUUGAUUUAGGGUGGCUGCAGCUGGCAGACGCACCAGCAUUUAGGAUGUCAUUAAAUAACAGCUGAGGGGACACCUCAGUCAUGAGAAAGUGAGUACUUUUUCCCCAACAGAUCCCUUCUUUUUGAUCGUAAGAGGGGAAAAUUAACAUUUAAAAAACUCUGGUCAGAGAGCUCCAGAAAACUGAUCCUGUAACAUUUGAAAACGAUGGUUGUCUCAUCAAAAUAUAAACAGAAUAUAGUUGAUCACAUUCUCCAGUACAUUUUCAAUUCAGUUCAUAAUAAAUUCUAUCACAAACAGACCGUGAGCCUCAAAGGUUUAUGCAGGUCGGAACGAAAACCCAGUGGGACAGCAUUUUCCUACCACCCCCUAUAAGUUUGGGAAUAGAUUCACUUCACCAAAUUCAUGGGUGGCGAUCCUAGAGAUCUGCAUAACAGCUCAAGAGCCUGUUUCCCUCAGAGCUUCAGCUGGUAUCCAGGCAACACAGUUACUUUCAUGUCAUUCAUGAUUAUCCACAAAAUACAAAACACAGUAUAAAACUUAUCGUAAGGCAUGCUUGAGUGAUUAAUACUAAACAAACUUAUGAUUGAAAUGUAGAUGUGACAACACAGUGUAUGAGGCAUGAGUGGUGUGCAGGCAGGCAGUUGCAUCUUUCCAGCUGAUCUGGACUAAUCAUCUUUUAUUCGUCCCAAUCACACUGUGGGAUCGAUGCUCCAGACCCUCCUAUUCCUCAGAAUCAGCGCAACUCAAAUGAGCACAAUGAUGCAAUGUGUAAAUCAGUAUACAGCAACACGUCCAGUAAAAUUCAUAAAUCACAGUAAAAUGUUGUUAAAAUCAUUGAUUAACUUUAAGAUAAAUGCUUCGAUUACAGUGUAAUUUCCAGUUACUAUUAAAAAUCAACAUUCAGUAUUCUUCACCAGCUAUCACUAUCUGUUGUGUUAUUUAAUUCUACACUGUACAGGUGAACACAAUGAUCCAAUUCUGUGUUACCCAUUAUUUAUCUAUCACUAAUUUAGUUACUUGAUCAACAGUAAUAUGCACUUCAGCACACAUUUUAUCAUAUUAAUAUAGAGGCUAAAGUAGUAAGCAAACCACUCACACAAAUAUUGUUAGAAAUCAAAAAAAUUCAAACAAUCCUGUAAAGUUUCUAAAGUCAAAUCUGUGUGAUUCUUUCAACCUUGAACUAUUACUUUGCAAGUUCCUCUACUCCUUGAGCAUCCAGGAGGAGGACAAGUUCCAUCCUAUUCUAUAGACCAGGGGUGUCAAACUCAGUUCCUGGAGGGCCACUGUCCUGCAUGUUUUAGAUGUUUCCCUCUUCCAACACAACUGACUCAAAUGAUCAGCUCGUUAUCAGGCUUCUGCAGAGGCUUGAUGACGAGCUGAUCAUUUGAGUCAGGUGUGUUGGAGCAGGGAAGCAUCUAAAACAUGCAGGACAUGGGGUCCUGAGGAACAGGGUUGAGAACCACUGGUAUAAAGCAUAGGGACAAUUCUUGAUAGGUGCCAGAUACUGAUUGCAAUUUCUUAAUAAGGGUUUACAAUUUGGAACUCCAACUGAACACUUAUUGAUUUUUACAGUGUUUUUCUACGGUGUGCGUCCCCAGCUAGGGCUGCACCACCACUAUUAUAUUCAAAGGAUGUUCAAUAUGUGACCUUCUAUAGUUGGUUUAAACCAGUGGAAGUAACAUUAGAUACUCAUAGCCAUUCAUCAUAGAGUUUGACUGAUUGGCUUUUCAGUAGUUUACAUGAAUUGAUCUAGGCUAGAAGAUGUUUUUGUUAACCUCAUUCUGUCAUUUACUAGUAUUCAGUAAAUUCAGUCAUGUUUAUGGGAAAGUCAUGGAGAAUCAGUCUGCUGCAUCUCCCUCCAUCCUUUAAUCUAACCUGUUCCAGUUUACCUGCUUUAUAGUCUGCUAGAGGAAAGAUUAUUGAGGUAAACAUGGCAGAAUACAUGGAGUUAGGCAUAUGUUGAUACAUCCACAGAUUACGUUAUUAUUAAGUUCUUAUUACUCCUGAUGUGUGUCUGUCCAGACUCUGCCACAAAACGCAUUAUUUUACUUAUGUUUAGCUGAACAGGUGGUUUUCUUCUUCAGUUGACAUAUAAACUCCAAAAAGGAAACAGUUUAAAAUUAGUUGCAUAAUUACCACACACAGGAUCAUUGUCCAACUGAUGUGAUGUGAAACGCCAUAAAUCCGGAAUUUCAAAGUGGGUAAAGAUCAGUAAUCUCAACCUUUUGCCUAGAAACUUUGUGUAGCUCAAGGAACGACACCCUGGACACUUUAACCAGAUCAAGGUCCAGGAUCUUCCAGACCCAGUUACCUUCAGAAUCAUAACCAGGUUGAACAAUAUAACAAUCUUGAGCCUUGCACCUGUUGUUGGAACAGUAGAAGGAAAUCUAUCGAUCCGUUCUUCAUAGGGUGAUAACCAGAGUCUGAGUCCACAGAGUCAGUUUCUCCUUUCUCGUCUCUCUGUAGUUAUCAGUGUUUGUAUGAGAGGAGCAGUCCAAACAGUCUAUUGUCUUUUUGUUUUGCUCCAGACUUCGUGUAUCAGUGUAUGUGUACGAUGCUGGGGCUGCACCGGUGAGUGUGUCGGGUUUCAGAGGAUCAGGGCAAAGAGCAUAGCAAACCCAGGGGGUGAGAGGCCUUCUCCUGUAGGAGAAGCUCCUGGUGCAUCUCUCGUCUCUCCACAGUGCAGGAAGUGGCUGUGAACCUUCAGGAGUAGGAUCAGCAUCCAAGCCCCUCCUUGUCGACCGUUGCCAGCCAGCAUCGUGUUGAGUGGACCCACUCUGCUCGGCCCUCGACCUCCACAGCCGUUCCGAUCACCAACAUCACCUUAUAUGGAUCCUCCUAAGAGAAAAAGAUUCUUUCCAAAGACUCGAUUAGUACACAAUCACUACACUUAAAACAAUGAAUGGCCUCCUCCGAUGGUUCUGGGAGCCUUUCAGUGACCUGCACAUGAAAUGUUCUUAGUAUCUCAGUUAGACGUUUCACAUACUCAGCCAUUCAUUCAUCAGUCCAUAACAGAGUGACUGUGUGUGGUCAAAGUUGCACUAGCUCCUGUGGACAUAGACCGUCCCAUGAGAACCUCAUGGGGGCUCAGUCCUGUGGUCAAAUUUGCAGUGCUGAGAAUUGAAUACAGCACAAUUGAGAUAAUUGGGAGGGCAUUGUGACCGCUGGGAAAAGAGCUUAAAAUAGGUAAAGUUAAUAAAACUCCCCAAAUCUUUUAAAUAUCUCAGACUAUGAGUAAUGAGUACUUUUCAGUUUUUACUUUCAGUUUUAUUUCUGACAGUAGGUGUCACUGUUGUGCCAGAAGCAGUGGGGAAGGCGCAGUUCAAGCCACCUCUGUUCCAUACGUCAGAGUAAACAUGGCGCUGAUCUGACCGCAUGUUAACGUGUCCUUUUUCUCACUGCUUCACAGGUAAAUAAGCGUGAAAACCACGUUAAAGCGACAAGAAUAUCACUCUGAUUUUUCCUGGUUAACCACCCGACCAGCAUUGUGUCCGUAGUUGUUGGUAACCGAGUGAGUGUGGUUUUGUUGUGUGUGUGUAAACUACGUUAGCAUAUUCGUAGCUCGUAGCCUCACAUAGCCGGGAGCGACUACAAGGCAACGUAAUACUUACAAUGCCCAGUAGAUGGGAAUGAGAAUGUGUGAAUAUGUGUGUAAUAUAUUGUAUUAUAUGAGUUAAGUACUUGCACACUCUUGUGAUGCUGUAGUUCUCAGACAGCUACACAGUAAGACAGCUCUCUGUGUUUGCUCUUGUCUGAAGUAGUAAGUUCGUGUUGUAAGUUUAUCAUGCAUUAGACAUUACAUGUCAAAUCUGCUAAAACUGACUUGGUUAAGCAUGGGUUGCAUUUUUGAAGUUGUAUGUGUGUAUGUAUGUGAAUACAGGCACCAUAAAUAACUGGUGUUUUGAUGAUGUUGUGAUGUUGAAUUGAAUAUUGAAUGUUGGCUUGAUAAAAUUUACAUGAUCUGGGUUUAGGAAGAUGCAGACAACUUAUUGAAUUGUAUUUGUUUUUUCUGUAUUUAAUAGUGCAACUAUGUUUUGCAUAUUGUCUGUAAUCUUCUGCAUCUCUGUUCCAUACGUCAGAGUAAACAUGGCGCUGAUCUGACCGCA